ACUAUUUGGACACGGCCAAUUUACCUGGCUCCAGGGCUGGCUCAUUCAGUGCUCAGCAAGCCAUGCUGCUCUGCAAGAGAUGCUUGCAGCCUUCCCUUCUGCCCAGUAGAUAUACCCCAUGGGCCCCUCGGGGCUGCUGGGGGGCACUGACAGCUGCUGUGGAGGGGGAUCUGAGAAGCAGUGUGUGCUGCACUAUAUUUGCACCUGUCCAUGCAGAAAGGCUGUUUCUCAUCUGAGAUCUACACUGUGGCCCCUAACUUUAUACUCCCCACUCUCUUUAGUCUUUGCAGAUGAUUUCAAGCAACUUGCUUUUCCACUGUCUAAUAAGCAAUUUAAAUGCUAAAGGGCAGCUCCUCUACUGAAGGCAACUGAAGCCAAGAGAGCUGUGACAGUUUAUGCCAACUGAAGAUUUGCCUUUAAGUAAAUGUUUUAAACUUUUCACUAAGGAGACUAAAAUAAGCCAUAGCAUGAAACGUUAAGAGUAAAGAAUGAACUCUGGAGACCAGAGGGAUUUGGGAAAUGAAAUGAGAUCCAUCUUACUGGCACAUUUCCCCCUCCGUCUAUUUUUGGAAUUUAAAAAAUUCCCCCAGAUUUGUCUUCUACAGACCAGCUUUUUGUUCACAGACCAGCACUGAGCAGCCUCCUCUUUCACACAGGGCAGCUAUGCAACUUGCAACCAGAUAUGAGAUGAACAGGAAGAUUUGUAGUUGGUGAGCAAGUUGUGAUCAACCCAACUCCUCUGCAGAAUGCUGUGAUGCUCACCAUGACUGGGCAUACUGAUACGCUUUGUGAAAACUAAACUAGGAACACCUGCAGAGCCCCCUGGUGAGCCCCAGUGGAGGGGCUCUGAACUGAAGAGGAACACAUCUAAUGAUGCCCUGAAGUUUAGUCUGAGUAUCUCCAAAUGGAGCAUAGCUGGAAAAACAAAUCAUCUGGGGAAUGCAUUGUCUGGUUGCACAGGCCACAGCUCCAAACAGGAUGUAGUGAAGCUGGUAAGAGAUUUACUCUGAAGUGAGAGAUUUGAUCCGUACAGUGUUAAAUCUAGGUCCAGUUUGGGGUAGUGCAUUUUAAGGAAGAUAAGAGACUAACUGGAGUGUGUGCAAAGAGAAUGAAGUGAACGAUAAAAAUGUUUUGAAAACAUGACCUGCAAUGAUAGGUGGAAGGAAGUGAGUUUGUUUAGUCUAGAAGAGAGAAGAAUGGGGGGAACACGAUAAUGGUUUUCCAAUAUUUGCAAAGAGGACAGCAACUGUUCUCCACAAUUUGGGAAGGGCAAGAAGAUAUCAGUUCAAUUUAUAGUAACAAAGUUUAAGGCAGGACUGUAGGAAAAGCCACAUAAAUACAAAACCCUCAGAUGAGCUACCUAGAAGAAUGGGAAAUGUACAUCAUGGGAAGCUUUUAGGAAAUGGACUGUAACAAUUCAUAUGCAAACCCAGGUAUUUUACAAAUCAAACAGUGGUGUUUGCAGAUGCAGUGAUACCAGACUGAGCUGAGUGUGGGCAGACUGUUGUUUACACAAAGCAGUUUUAGAGGUCACCCAUGUGUGACAGCACUGAAUAUAAGUUGAAUCAUUCAGAACGAAAUCAACGUAACUGGUGCAGAGGUAGAGAGCAGCAUUAAUGUCGCCAAAAUUGCUUUCAGACCUCAUCUCUGUAGCAUAAUGCAUUCCUUUAAAAUUACUGAUGACAAAGGAAAUUAGAAAGAAAGGUGACUGUUGUACUGACCUUAACAGCAGAGUCCUACAGCACCUGGAAGGCUUUCAAAUCUGGCAGAGCACACUACAAAUAACCCACUCCAUUGUCUGACUCAGGUAAUGCAGCUUUAGGAGAUGCACGUUUCUCUUUAUCUCUGUCUGCUCUCUCCCUCAUCUUCUGUGCCCAAAGAGUAAAAAUAGCAACUUUAUAUGUAUUUUUACACUCCUAAUCACUGGCUCAAGUCACUGUUCUCACAGCUUUGUCUCCUUGCAGCAUGGGAAACUGAUCCAGCUGUGCUACAGGAUGGAGCAGGUUCAAGUGUGUCAGCUCCUGGUCUGAAUGUGGGAACAGCAGAAACACGCUGUGUAGGUGGCUUACACUGUGUAGCCAGUGAACGUGCCUGCAGAUACAUGGGCAAUACCAGCAACAAAGGCUACUUCCUUACCAGCCCACGCACAAAUCUGUUCCACGCUCCGCAUGGGAAGAGGCAGCAGCAUCGCGGAUGAGCGAAGGCUGCAGGGUGCUGAUAUUUGGGUGAAAAUCCACACCCCACUGUGUUAUUCAUCCCUCACCAGUCCUCCAAAAUCUCCUCCCCCAGGAUAGUUUUUUGGACAGCAUCGGGAUAAAUUCUGCUGGAGGAUGGCAGAACAGGCCAAGGAGUGAGUCAAAAAUACCCACUCGUUUGAGGGAAUGAAGUAGUGUGGAAGGACUGGGUGCUAUUAAGUUGAAAGCUGUUUGUGUAGCACGGCUGCCUAACAAACAACCCUUUCAAAAUCUCUGAAUAAGAAUAAUGAUAUUUACUCCAAUCUUGUAGACACAGCCUUGCUCUCUUCCCAAAGCGAGGGCAAGGUCUAUGCACAGCCAGCUUCUCUGUGGGAAAGGAGAUCUGUUCAGCGCCAACGUGAACGUUGCCA